rnacentral:lncRNA from 1 species
AAACGGCGUUAUUUUGGAAUAUUUAUUUAAAAAUACACACUUCACACUUCUAUCCUCCUAAAUCAGAGUUUCUCCUCUCAAAAAUCGCUCAAAGCUUCUCUCCUCUCAGAACGAUGAAAUCGCUCGAGCUCCCCCCACUCCCAAUCAUCAGAAAUCGAUCCGGCAUGUUCUUAAUUCUCCCCCAAAAUGAGAAAUCGACACAUGUUCUUCUCCCCAAAAUGAGAAAUCGAUCCAGCAUGUUCUUCUCUGACCCACUCUCUUCCGUUUCCCAAAUCAGAAAUCGCUCAAGCUCUUCUCCCCAAACAGGUUUCUUUCUUCCACCCUCUCUCUUUCUCUACAUGUAUGUAUAUACAUAUGUUUGUCAAUUUUUAUGCGUCUUCUCGUUGUUGAGUUUAUGUUUUAUAUAAGCCUCAUUGUUGUUUGUUGGUGUGAAUUGGGUACCAGGUAUUGUCUAAUUUUAUGUGGUUUAAAUUUUAUUGAAUUAUGAUGUUUUACAAGCUAGGGUUUUUGUGGUGUAUUUUAUUGAUUUGGGCGAAUUACUUGUAACUCAGCUUCAUAUUCCUUUUGUUGUUAAUGUGAGCCAAAGUUAUUUCAUGAUUAUGCUUUUAACAGAGUACAAUAGCUCAAGGCAAAUGGUUGUCAUGGUGUGUUGGUUCUCAUUCGCUAUUUGGUCAAAAAAAAUUAAAAAUUAUGCAUAUUUUUUUUUUGUUGGCAAGUAAAUUAUGCAUAUGAGUUAUGAAACUAUAGUUUGGAAUAGUAGAUGGUUUUCGUCACUUCAUGUAGAGUCUAUUUCAACCAUAGCCUCUAAUUGUUAACAAAUUGAUUUUUGGUUUGAACAUUUAUUAUAUUUUCAAACCGGUUGGUUCAGUGUUAAGUUUGUGUGUAAAUGUGGGUUUGAGUAUAACUUGGAUUGAAAGGUAAUAGCUUCUUUGUAAGUUAUAAGUAUUGUUGAAUUUAAAAUUUUCUUACAGCUGAUGAUAUACGUAUACAGUUAUUGAACUCUUUUUCUAACUGAGCCCAUUGGGAUCACUUAAGUUGAGAUACUUCUCUCAGACCACUGUGUUGGUUUGAUUAGUGACUCCAAAGUUUUUCCUUAAAGGGGUCACAAAAUUAAAUGUAUCCUGCAAUUUAAGUUAGCCAAUAUCUGUAUCAUUUGCAUAGUUUUUUGAUAUGGUUCCUGAGGUUUAAGUUUAAGAAAAGCUUCCAAAUCAAGAAGCAUCGGUUGACAUAAUUAGACUACAACAUGAAUCUUUCACUGUUAAUUAUUAUCCCUGUGGAUAUGUGAAUUUGUUGCUUAAGGUAUUUCUCUUUUUAUUUGAUUUGUUUUGGAUUUAACCAAAGUUCCCUUGUAGAAGAAAGGUGGUACUACUUUUGUGCUCUUUGGAUUUUAGGUACAGAAGAAUUCACUGUCUUUUCCUUUUGAUUUUAAUUAGCACAUGUUGUUUGUUUCCUUUUAAAUUAUGAAGCUUAAUUUGCUAUAAUCAGAUCCGUCUCUUUAAAAAGAUUGCAGUUAGAAUCUUCUCUUUGUUUGUAUUGAUUAACUUUACAGCUUAGGAUUCUUUUUAGCAUUUCGUAUUUCGUUAGAAACUUUAAUACUAAAAAAGAGUUACUUCAAGUUUUUCUAUAAAAUUUCUAGCUAAUAAUCUUACAUCUUAUACAUUAUGCUAAAUAUUCUACUUUUUAUCAGGGUUAAACUGCAUUUACUCAUAUUCUGUCCCAACUAGCUGAAGAGAUUUUAAAAGUUUCUCUUACAAAAGUUCUGCUCAGAACUCUGAUAGAGAUUGGAGAAAAACAUGUUCAGACAUUGGAGGCCAUCAAAGGUGGUGGAGGGUCCAUCAAAGUUGGAACCAUUGGGACAAUCAGCUCCCUAAUGUCAAAUGAACUGGAAUCCAUGAAACAUGCACCUCGAAUGGCAGUAUCAUCCAGAGACAAAUCUUUUGCACCUACUAUUCUGACACCUGGUGGUGUUACGUCUCCCAAAAGACUAAGGCCAAGAUCAUCAGCUAAUGAAGCAAGUAGUAAUCGCAGCAGCAAUAUAAAUAGAAACCCUGAGUUUGUCAGGAAAACAAAACAUUAUACCCGAAAAAUCACCAUUUGUAGUACUGUCUUCCAUAGUAAGCAGCUAGAACUGCUUAGUAUUAUUGAGUUGUUUUUGUUUUAAAGACAUGCAUGUUAGUUUCUAAAUUACAUCCAUAUUCCGUGUGUUGCGUGAUUCAUUAGAAAUUAAUUUUAUCUCUGGAUUGGCUUGCUUUUUAGAUAAUAAGUUGGUCACAAUUGCCUUAAUGUCAAUUACAUUCCACAAAAACAAGAAGUUGUAUAGCUUACAACAAUCAAAUGUUAUAAAUAUUGAAGAAAAAUGAAAUAUCAAACUCAGAUAAUAAUAUCAAAGCUGCGAUUGCAUACUCUCCCUAAAUCCGGCAUUAGCCAUUCUUCUUGCAGCUGGAGUGGAAGACACAUUUCCACGCAUUGCAGGAACAGCGGAUGAAGUUGCACCACCCCAAUAGUCCAUACCAAUAUUUAAGUUGGUCGUGGGACCAGAAACACCUCCUGGAGCACCAGCGGCAGAAACUGGUAUGAUGGAAAGAGAUUGGUUCACCAUUGAGUGAUGCACAUUAUGUCCUCCAUUCUGUGAACCAUG